GGGACCCCGCACAAGCGUGGAUUAUGUUGUUUAAUUCGACGCAACGCGAAGAACCUUACCAGGCCUUGACAUACUCGGCAAAGCUCUAGAGAUAGAGUGGAGGUUUAUCCGGGAUACAGGUGGUGCAUGGUUGUCGUCAGCUCGUGUCGUGAGAUGUUGGGUUAAGUCCCGCAACGAGCGCAACCCUUGUCUUUAGUUACCAUCAUUCAGUUGGGGACUCUAGAGAGACUGCCGGUGAUAAACCGGAGGAAGGUGGGGAUGACGUCAAAUCAUCAUGCCCCUUAUGGCCUGGGCUACAAACGUAAUACAAUGGCGUAUACAAAGGGAUGCGAAAGGGCGACCUGGAGCAAAACUCACAAAGUACGUCUCAGUUCAGAUUGGAGUCUGCAACUCGACUCCAUGAAGGCGGAAUCGCUAGUAAUCGCGGAUCAGCAUGCCGCGGUGAAUACGUUCCCGGGCCUU
rnacentral:rRNA from 1 species